rfam:Triticum aestivum genome assembly, contig: Triticum_aestivum_CS42_TGACv1_scaffold_499581_6BL
UAUGAAACCCAUUUGCGCGAGAGUAGUACUAGGAUGGGUGACCUCCUGGGAAGUCCUCGUGAAAGGGUUUCAUAU